rnacentral:pre_miRNA from 1 species
AAAAACUCAAUUAUUGGGUUUCCGUGUCUAAUGUUUGACCGUCCAUUUUAUAUGAAAUUUUUUUAUGAUUAGUAUUUUCAUUAGUGUUUAGAUUAUAAAACAUGAAUAAUACUUUAUGCAUGACUUAUCUUUUAAAAUUUUUUAUGAUUUUUUUCUAAUAAGAAAUAUGGUCAAAUGUUAGAUAUGAAAAUCUAGG